CGGGUAGUUAAGUCAGAAGUGAAAUCCAAUAGCUCAACUAUUGAACUGCUUUUGAAACUGAUUACCUAGAAUAUGGGAGAGGUAGAUGGAAUUUCUGGUGUAGGGGUAAAAUCCGUAGAGAUCAGAAGGAAUACCGAUUGCGAAGGCGAUCUACUGGAACAUUAUUGACGCUGAGACGCGAAAGCGUGGGGAGCAAACAGGAUUAGAUACCCUGGUAGUCCACGCCCUAAACGAUGUACACUAGUUGUUGUGAGGCUCGACCUUGCAGUAAUGCAGUUAACACAUUAAGUGUACCGCCUGGGGAGUACGGUCGCAAGAUUAAAACUCAAAGGAAUAGACGGGGACCCGCACAAGCGGUGGAGCAUGUGGUUUAAUUCGACGAUACACGAAGAACCUUACCUGGACUUGACAUAGUAAGAACUUUCUAGAGAUAGAUUGGUGUCUGCUUGCAGAAACUUAUAUACAGGUGCUGCACGGCUGUCGUCAGCUCGUGUCGUGAGAUGUUGGGUUAAGUCCCGCAACGAGCGCAACCCUCGUCAUUAGUUGCUAACAGUUCGGCUGAGAACUCUAAUGAGACUGCCUACGCAAGUAGGAGGAAGGUGAGGACGACGUCAAGUCAUCAUGGCCCUUACGUCCAGGGCUACACACGUGCUACAAUGGGGUAUACAAAGAGCCGCAAUACGGUGACGUGGAGCAAAUCUCAAAAAUAUCUCCCAGUUCGGAUUGUAGUCUGCAACUCGACUACAUGAAGUUG
rnacentral:rRNA from 1 species